ACCAGACUCCUACGGGAGGCAGCAGUGGGGAAUAUUGCACAAUGGGGGAAACCCUGAUGCAGCGACGCCGCGUGAGUGAAGAAGUAUUUCGGUAUGUAAAGCUCUAUCAGCAGGGAAGAAAAUGACGGUACCUGACUAAGAAGCCCCGGCUAACUACGUGCCAGCAGCCGCGGUAAUACGUAGGGGGCAAGCGUUAUCCGGAUUUACUGGGUGUAAAGGGAGCGUAGACGGUGAUGCAAGUCAGAAGUGAAAGCCCGGGGCUCAACUCCGGGACUGCUUUUGAAACUGUGUAACUGGAGUGCAGGAGAGGUAAGCGGAAUUCCUAGUGUAGCGGUGAAAUGCGUAGAUAUUAGGAGGAACACCAGUGGCGAAGGCGGCUUACUGGACUGUAACUGACGUUGAGGCUCGAAAGCGUGGGGAGCAAACAGGAUUAGAUACCCCCGUAA
rnacentral:rRNA from 1 species